rnacentral:lncRNA from 1 species
AGAAAGAUCAAAAUUUAGAGAUUUUAUAAUUCUCUGAUAGAUUAUUGAAUUUGACGUUUAUCAAUCAAUGAAAUGCUUUGUAAUAUCAAAUGCGUUGUUGUAGUAUCGAGCAUUUAUAUCUACAUUUCACACUGCAUUAACAUGAAUGCUCGAUACUACAAAGUAUUCGUGAUGUCCCCUUACAAGGGUACAAAGAUUUGCCAUAGUUAAUGUGGCCUCUCUCAUUUUUCGGCUUGAACUUUAACUGCUUCAUGUUCCAAAACCAUCCUUAACUAACUAAACAUGUUUUGUCCCGGAAGAUUUCAUAAAGGACCCCAACUAACUAAUCACUAGCUAAUAUUUGUCACAGAAUUUCUACGGCCAUUUUUCGACCGGCCGGUGUAAUGGCGGGACUCAAAACGAAAGAAGAAAUUCAUUGACGGUCAGGCAGAUGAUGCUUGGGCAGCGGCAUUGAAGGUGAGCGGCUUGAUGUCCAUGGAACGCAUGUAACUCAAAAACUGUCCGGGCAGCUCUUCCAGAAGACCUUGAACAACAGAAAUCUGCCCACCUGCUUACAAGUUACAAACCCCACAGAUUGCCAAAUUAGUACAGGAUGAAAGAAAGUCUGAACUCAGUUCUAGUAACUUCGCAUCACACGAUGUUGACGUGCACCUAAAGGUACAAUGGAUGUUUAGAAGGAGAAAUGGAGGUCAUGGAUACUUACUCUGCACAUCUCUCAUUGGAACGAACUGGACAAUGUCACGCGUAGCUAUGCGACCUGUAGAACUUUCUAAUCGUUGCCCGUUGUCAGCGUCAAGGAUCUGCCAAAUACAAAAGAUUCAGACGAAACUUCAUGAUAUGCAGAAAUAAAAAACCAGUAUAUGAAAAUCCUGAAUAACCACAAGUAUUACCUCCAUUUGUUUGAAAUCCGCGUUACCAACUCCAACGAUGAGGAUUGAUAGAGGAAGAUUAGAUGCCCUCACCAAAGCAUCUUUUGUUUCUUGAAGGUCAGUGAGGAUUCCAUCCUAGAAAACAAGAUGGCAUUCAUAUUAUCAUUUUUUGUAAAACAAAGAACCCAGGAGUUAAAAAUUCAAUUUGAAUUCAUCGUGCUCUUACUGUUAUAAUGAGCAAGACGUAGUACUUGUUGUUGUUGGACGAGAGGGACCUGGCGGCAAUUUCAGCAGCCCUGUUAACCACUUGGCCAAACAACGUCGGUCCUGACAGAGCAACAUUGCGUAGAGCAUUGGCAUAAGCAGCCAUUAUGCCUUCAACUCCGACAACCUGUUAAAUAAAUGACACGAUUGAAUUUACUGAGAUGGUAAAACAAAAUAUAGUUCAGGUGUAUUGAAUGAGAUUGCAAACAAAGGGUAAAAGAGCAUUGCAAAGGGUUAAACUACUCCUUUACCUCAGAUUCACUUGCAUUUCCAUUCAAGUUGAAGCAGUGUGAUACAGUUCCAUUAGCCGUCCUUCCUCCAAAGCCCCAAGCAGGAAAACUCUUAUCAGCAUCAUAGAACUGAAUGACUUGUCCUACUUCUGUUAUAACCUGCAAAGGAAAACAUCUAAUCAAUCAAUAUGCUUUCACUAACUAUCGAACAGAAAAGUACCCAUAACAACUAACCCUCGAGAACAAAUGACCUUAAUUAUGUACGAAUUCAAUACACGUCUGCAAAAAGAAUAUGGUGGAUAAGAUAGAACUAUCCCUAUUGAAGCACAUGCUUACCUGCUGGUAAGAAUUCAGCCGGCCAUAAGGAUCAAUAUAGUGCAAAGACUCGGGCUUUCUAGGAUCUCCAUUUGAACCUGGACAAAAUUUAAUAUUCGAAACAAGAAAGUAUAUCAAACCCAUGAACUUUUGCAGAGUGAAGACUGAAUUAAAUUACUAGACUAUCCGACAUUGCUUACCCGUAAAAUCAACUGCAACCAUGAAGUUAAGCUCAAAUCCACUAGAUAUAUAGUCAACAAAGCUGAAUUGUUCUUUCUCACAAAAUUGAUCCACAAAUAGCUGACCCUUCAAAACCUACGUUAGCAUAUUACAAAGCAAACGUGAGUAAAUUCAAAUUGACAUGAAAUACUAAGGAAUUGGACUGCAAGAUUGAAUAAAUACCUUUUCAUGACCCGCACGAGAAGAUGGAAUAAAAAAGUUCACCCCACUUUUUUCUUUGAAUAGUUUUUCAAGGUCUGCUACUGAUUUUUGGAGUUUCCUGAGUAAAACGAAUAGAGAGGUUAAUUACAAAACAAUGAUAUCAUGCAAGAAGUAACAAAAUAAAGACUUGGAACCAAUCAAUAAUUACCCAAUAAGAAUGUGGUUGCCAUUGCUGUUGAAAUCAAAACACUCAAAAACCAGUGGGGUGUCCUGAAUCAAAUUGAAGAAAGUUAUAUGAUCUCUCUAUCGUAUUUCUCAAUUACCAAAAUUUAUAUACUCUAAUUUAACAGGUAACCAAGCAAUAAUUCACAAGCUUACCUUGCUUCCGAACUGUUGCAUACUCAGGCAUAAUGGUUUCCAGGUCGGGUUUAAAUUGUUAUCCACCACCUCAGUCUUGCAAAUUGGAAUAGAACCCCCAGUCUCAACAGUUCUUGAUAUUCUUAAGAAAGGAUCCUGAAGUGAAGAAUCGGGAAAGAAACCUAAGAAUCAUACAAUAUAAGAAAUUUGUAUAUACAAGUAAAAAUAUCGCACGAAGCUUCUUUGAAAUGCGUACGCUUUUAGAAAAGAGAUCUUUGUUGUCCAAGUGGGCACAGCGGAAUUUAAUCUCUACAGCACUCGUAGAAGCAAUAGUUUCCUCGGCAUGCACGGUGAGUGUUCCAAAGUUUCUCAAACCUCCAAGCCCGUUUUUGCCGUUCAGAGUCAAUGUUAAACUUCGAUUUUGUUUAGUCACAAUCUGCCGUCAGAAAAGAGAGUACACAGCAAAAUAUAAAUUAGGUUUGACUUCAUUUACUAGAAAACUAUGAAAUCUUAGGUACUGAUUUCAAUACAUUUUGGGCAACAGUUUUGCAUUUGAUUAAAUAAAGGAAACCACUACAAGCUAUAUCGAUAUCUUUCCUUAGCUGCAUCAACGGUGAGCAGAAUAGAAACACAUAACUCGAAGUAUUAAUUAAAUGAGUCUAUAUACAUAUCACACCAGCUCAAUGAAAAUAUAUGAGCUGAAUAGAUUUCAAGAGAAUUACCUCUGAAAGAACACAACUGCCUUCUCCAAGAAACUCUUGAUCCCUCAAAUUCAGAGUCUGCAAGGCAACAAAAUAAGAAGGUUAACACAUGAAUUGUAUUAGGUUUUUCGUUCUAAAAGAAACGCUAAAAAAUUCAAAGAAGUCUCGUCAUACCUUUACAGGUACAUUGUGGUAUUGUGUAUCAAACAUCGUAGACACGGAAUCUUGGAGGAGAACACAAGAAAAGAAAAUAAGCAAACGUCUGGUAAACUACAAAGAUAUCUUCAGAGAGAUAGGUUCUACAGAAAAUAUGAGAAACUUACAUCAAAUUCUGCACCAUCUCGAACUGAUAAGCUACUGAAACUUUCUGUAUCCAUACCGGAUUUAAAUUGUUCAGUAUGACUUCAGUUCUCCCGAGUUCCUCUAGCUUACCAUCAUUCUUCUUGAGGUAUACAACCACCAUAGGAUCACUCUGAAAGAAAACCACAGAAUUUUUUAGCCUCGAUAGUAAACUCGUAGCGGUCAGAUGACACUGUUACAAUAACUUUGUUACUUAGAUAAAACUUAACCAGUAUUUUAACUGCUAUGCUAUCACAAGUAAGGUGACAUGGAUAGCAUACCUUUGAAGUGACAUCAAGAUCAAGCAGCUUGGAUGCUGAAAAGGAUAACUGUAGCAAAAAAUUGAAAAACAUUAACACAAAACAACAAAAACAACAACCAAGCCUAAUUCACUAAAUGGUGUCGGUUGUAUGACUCUCCGUACGCCACUGCACUUGGUUUUGGAAGACAAAAGAUGAAAGACAAAAUCCAAAGGAAAUAAAGAAUCAAGGCUUUUGGAAUUUGGACCCAGCAAAUUAUCACAUUGUAAAAAUGGUUUUGUCUUAUGGUCCCCAAGUCAACAUUGGCAUAACAAAAUAAAAAUGAGAAUCUUGCUAAUGUCCUGUUUGUGACCCUCUCUAGGCCAUCCAUGCUAAUAAACACUUGUGAAACAUGCAACCUCACGUAACACACCAAUCACUUGUGAAACAUCCAUGCAAAUAAACAUGAUACACAUAAAGUUGACAUACUAUUUUGGUCAAACAUUUGGAACACAUUGUAAACCAAAUAUGACUUGGGUCCUUAAAUUGGGGGAAAUCUUAUUUCAGACGGUCAGAUUUCAUGCCUUGUCCAAUCACUCAAUAAGAUGUUUGCACUAACAAGCGUAUAACUGUUUACUUUCCACUUUAAUAAUUUCACUAACAAACAUAUUCACAUAAUACGUUUGGAUGAUAUGUUGAAAGUCAAUAACGUGUUAUCUGUUCGUUAAUAGACGAACGUGGUUAGAUCGCCUAACACAAGAGUCUCACCAACAUUUGGAUGAGUGGGUAUUGUGACGCUUGGCAUUUUAGUGGGUAUUGUGGAUACAUGGGUAACACGCCACCUUGCAAUGAACUAUGAAUGAAAGGAAAACUAAUGAAAAUAGCUUGAAAACUUUAAGGGUGUGUUUGUUUGGGCUCACAAACUUUCAUUGGACUGGACUUGACUAAUUAUUAGUCCAGUCCCAUGUUUGUUAGGCAACGGGAUUAAGUUAAGUGGGAUUCAAUCGGACUCGCUCCGACUAUCUCCUUCGCUAAGAGUUCUUAGCGAGCAUCCUAAAAAAUGACGGGAUUGCUAAGACCGUCUUCGAAAGAGUUCGCUCGUCCUGCUUCUCAUCUUCGUCUUGCCGGUCCCGCUCCCUCAUCCUAGUCUUGCUCUCUCAUCCUCGUCCUGCUCUCUCAUCCUCGUCCUCAUCCUGCUCCUCUCCGAUUUGGUUUUGCAGAUCUAAAAUUAUUAUUGGUUUUUUUUUUUAUCGAUUUUGUUGUUUUGGGUUCCAAAUCUCUGAAAUUUUUGAAUUUUUAUCACAAAAAUUGGGUGCGAUUGUGUUUUGUGAUUGGGUGUGUUUUUUAAUUGAUUGCUACCCAUUUAUUUUCAAUUUUUCUUGACAAUUUGAUGAUCCUGAGAGAUGGGAAAUCCGUCCAUCUCUCACUAGAUGAACGAACGGGUUUGUAAUCAUUUCCCUUUUGGGUUUCUAUCUUGAGAAUCAUGUGAAAGGGUUUUGAUUUUUUGGUUUCUGGGUUUUUGAAUUGGCGGCAUAUUAUGGGUCUUUUAAUCUUGAAGUUGUUGUCUUUGUUUGGUUUUUGGUGGCUAUGUAUAUUUGCAGGGUCUGGAUUUGUUUCUCAGGACCUCUAUCAGCAUGGGAUUUUCAGUGCUUCCAUUAAGCUGCCAGCUAAUUACACUUCUGGAGUUGUUGUGUUUUUAUGCGAGUUCAUUCUGUUUUUCUAUUUGAUUAAGGUUUUUAAUUUGUUUCCCUCUUUGUUUGUUGUAUGAUUAUAUCUAAGGUUGUAUGAUUUUAUUGUCAACAAAAUAAUAUGACCCAGAUUUUUACUUCUCAAUUUUACAGUUUAGUAAAGAUUCAAUCUUUAUGGUUAUCUGAUUAAUCUGAAAUUUGUUUGUUUUAAACUUGGUGGCGUGGAACCCAGAAAUGUUAUGGAGAUCUAUCAAUAUCCCAAGUAAAAACUUGUUUUUCAAACUUGGUGGUGUAAACAGUACUAUUUUUAUUAUCCUGCUUCUUAAUCCGGUACUACACCAAACGCUUCACUAAAUUAGUCCAGCUUAAUCUAGUCUAAGCUAGUCUAGCUUAGUCUUUGAAGCUAGUCCAGUCCGAGAUAGUUCGGUGCAACAAACGCACCCUAAGUUUUAAUGAUAAGGACAAAAUAAAGGAUAAAGUGAAUAGUAUCACGUUUGACUUUUUAGUGUAAAAAUAUGAUUUUUCGUUAAAGUGAACAGUACCGUGAACUUUUCGUUAAACCUCGAAUGAAACUUCAUCUUCAAGACUUCAACAAUAUAAUAGUAAAAUGGUCUGAACUUUUCAAUUUUCUCUGCAACCUAACAGCAGAAACUCUACAACAACAAAACAAGUUUCCACGACUCGAAUUUGUGAUAUUUCGAUCAUAAAUGAGCAACAUUUUCGUAAUGCUAAAAAACUCAAUAAAUAAAAAACAUUUGCAAUAAAAAGAAAAAAAAAACAAAAUUUGAGACAAAUAAUAUUUUCAAAAUACAACUACAAAAUAAUAUUUGCAAAACUCAAAAUAUAUCCACUCAAUGUAUGAAUAAAAUAAAAUAAGAUCUUGUAAGGUUAUAUUUAUAGCCAAAAUAACUAAUAACUAAUAUAUAUGUAUAUUUCGCAAAACUCAAUAUAUAUGUAAAUUAAAUAAGAAAUUCCAAGAAAAGAAUCAAAUAGAAAUUCCAGAAAAACAAAGAAAUUAGAAAAUUCAAAGGUUCGAGGAGUAGGGAUUUGAAGGCAAAUCGAUCACCCUGCAGAAGCAGUGCCGGAGUUGUACCUCGAGUUGCGUAAAAAGCGUAAGCACCAUGCGCCCUGUAAAAGAAUUCAAUGGCAUCGUUGUGAGCGCCGUCGUUCUUGGCGUUCGGUUCGGUGGGCCUUGGCAGGGCCCCGCCCACGGCGUCCUUGCCUCCCCUCACGUCCGAAAAGCAUCCUCCCAUCCACUUCAAUCAAAAAUCCCAAACCUUUAUCCGUACUCUCUCUCUCCUCUUUCUUCGUCUCUCUGAAAUUCGAGAACCCAGAAGCAAAUUGCGACUGUUAAUCGCAAAAUCAGUCUGCCAGUUAGGAGAUUUUGCGUGAUUAAGCUUCGUUAAACCCCAAGGAUUAUGGUAUUUGAUUCUUUGCGAUGCGCAUAUAUGUAUAUAUAGGCAGUGAGAUCGUGUUUCUUGCAUAUAUAUAUAAGAGGAAUGCAAACUGGGUGCUUUAUACGUUAUCCAGCCUUAUCCGGAAAUUUUCUCGAACGCGGAUUUCUCGAAGCUUCACUUUAUGGAAUUUUUUUUUACUGUGUCAAUAUUUUAUAUUAAGAGAAUGGGAGCUCAAUUAAGCUACCAUUUUAUGGAAUUUACUUCAAGUAUUUCCAAAUAAUGAAAGAAAAGUCUUUUUUUUAAUGGAAAAUCAAUAAAAAUCUUAGACAAAUAUAAUAAAAUUAACCUAGCUUCUCAAUGUGAAUAGAAGUUUUGAAUUUCCUACGUGAUCGAUUUACGAGACUUCGUACUUAUAAUCAGAAUUGUUUAUAUUGUAAAUAAUUACGUAAAGAUCAUAUGUGCAAAAAAUUAAUAAAUUAUGAGAUCAUUCAAUUAUUGAAUUAUAUAAAAAUUUCUGAAUGAAUUUCAUAAAAGAAUCAUGAACCGUCUAUUUAUUUGCUAAAAUUGAUUGACUAAACGAUUUUUUCAUUAAUUUUUUUUGUAGAAAUAUUUUUACAUAAUGAAUUAUUAUAUGAACUGCUCUAUUAUUCUCUAAAUCGACCACAAAAUAUUUUGAGGAAGAACUCAUUUUAGGAGUCAAACCCAUUUUUAAAAAUACUUUUUUAAGUCAUAGAAUAGUUUUCAUAUUAAGAAUGAAGAAUUAAUAUUUUUUUAAUUUUUCUCUUAAUAAACAAUAUGAAUGGACUAAGCCUCAUAAUGGGCGGCCAUAAUAGUGUGGUUCAAAUACAUCUUUGACGAAUCGAAUAUAAGACAUCUCACUUACAAGUGAAGAAAAAUACUCUUAUACCAUAGUACUAAGUAGCAAUAUUUUGUGCUUUUAAAAGAAGGUGAAUUAAAUCUUAAUAUUUUUUGUACUUUGCAGCUUAGUCGAGUUGGCAAUAUGGUACUUCCCUUUCUCUCAAGUUCAAAUCCUCAUUUCAUUUCUGUAAUUUAGUUAAUUUAUAUAAAAGAUUUUAUUUUUUGUCAAAACAAAAGUUCUUAUUUUAUUUAUUUAUAAAGAAUAAUACAAAAGUUAAGAAAAGGAAUUUCACUCGCCUACGUUUUGGUAUUUACCAAUGAAGUUCACUUUUUUGGCUUAACUAUUAAUGUAGAGUUGAUCGUUUCAAUUUUUUUUUCAUGUUGGGAAAAUACUUUAAUUAUAAGAAAAGGAAGCAACAAAACGUGUGAAGUCCCAAGACUGCUCACCUAAUUUGAGCCCCUGUGAAGCCGUCUUUCGUAUGAACCUUCAUAUUUAUCUAAUGGUGGAUAAACUUCUGAGUUUAGAUUAAAGAAUUAUUAUUGUCACUCCAAAAAUUUCAUUUUGCACUCCAAACUUUCUAUAUUAAGUAAAAAAAUUACACUUGUGAGGAGUGUAGAAUGAGAUUUUUGGAGUGUUAAUAACAAUUCCCUUAGAUUAUUCCUUAUGUUUUGGUAAAUAAGAAUAAUCUAAACCCAUAAGUUUAUUCACUAUUAGAUAAAUCUGAAAGUUCAUACGAAAGAGGUCCUCACAAGUAGGGGUGAAUUCACUUUGGGGCAAGGUGGGUCACUUGACCUCCACAAACUCAAAAAUCCUCCAUGCAAGAGUUGGAUAUUGCCUUUGAAAAUCUGAGAUGCUCGUGAAAGCUAUCCUCCAACUGCUUUUUGAAUUGCCUUUAUGGUUCCUAGGCAUGAUAGUUGCUAGCCUUAUGCAUUUGUAUGUGUUGCUAUAGCCAUCUGUCGAUGGGCUCACUCGGCAUAUAUUGGCAUCUAUCGACAAACUUGCUCAAAAACUACUGACAUCAGUAGACAUGCUUGCGCGAAAGAUGUUGACAUGUGUGCAAUACGAAUCGACAAAUGAUCUCAAACCUAUCAAGGCUCGAUAAAAUGCUAAUUUGCUUGCCAUUCCGCCUAAAAGAAAUUUUGCUCGCUAGUCUUAUUGAACUCCUCCCAAUAUAUUUCAUCGAUCUACCAUUGCUCACAAGUCUUGAAAAUGAAGCUUUAGGUGAGCAAGCACAAGGGAUAAUCAAGCAGAUGAACGGUCUAUACCUAACUCCAAAUUCAACAACAAUCCUCCACACCCAAAAAAAUAAAUAAGACCACAAUAAUGAAGAAAUACAAUUAAAAUAAUUUCCUAAAUUUUAAGAAAAUGUUUCAUGAAUUACUAAUUUUCUAAACCAAAUUAGUGAGAAUGAUAUGAAGCACAAUAUUUUCUCAAUUUGUUUAUGAAGAGAAAUUACAAAAUAAAAACAUCCAUCAAAUAGAUUGGUUUACUAGUUUGAGGAUUGAAUGGAAUCGAACCAAAUCAAAUUGAAUUGUUGAAAUUGCUUACAAGGGUUGGUCCAUUUGGUAAGGGCGUGCAUGUGAUUAACCCUAAUCCAAGUUCGAUUCUCUCAUCCAAUAGUUCUCAUUGGUGCAAGAUCUGUAAGUUCAUACGUAAAUAUAUAUAUGUAGCAGCUGACAGUUAGAUGUUAUGCGUAAAUCUUUUCGACUUAAAAUUGUAGAUAUUCUCUAACGCUGGUAGUAAGAGUAGCUAAUCUCUCUCUUUCUUCUUCAAAGUUGACUUGGAAAAUUUCUACCUUCCCUUGCAAUACUCCUGUCGGGGUAAGAGUAGCCAAUCUCUUCCCUUUCUUCUUCAAAGAGGUCGAGGAGUUCCUGUCCCAUUCAUACUACUGUGGCUUAUGGAGUGUGCCAAUAAUGCAAUAUAAAAUAUUGGGAAACAAAUACUUGUGGAUAAACCUAAUGACUCGACUCCAAUAUGUCCUUCUUUUUUCUUUUUCAUAGAAGUUGACUUCAAUAUGUUUAUGGAUAAAGCUUAGUCCAUAGCAAAUUAUUUAGAUAAGACUUCUUACAACGGUUUAGUUGGCGUCACCAGAAUGACGUCAAUAUUAUCACGAAAGCAUGCAUGAAAUCAAAUGGUAUAUCACGAUCAGGUAUCAACUUUAGAUAAAUUUAUCAACAAUUUAUUGGGUAAAUAUGCUUGCUGCUGACCAUCUCAUUGCAACAUUUUUAAAAUCUCAAUCACACGUACAUACGUGCAGUGACAGAUUCAAGAUUUAGACUUUAGGAAAUUUCAAUGUUAAACGUUUAAGUUUUUAGACAGAAACAAAGCGAGAAACAUGCAAAAAAAAUUUAGUUUAUUUACUGAGGUACUUCAUGGAAUACUAAUGGGUUUGUUGUCGUCAGCUAACUAUGUUGCGUAGAUGUCAACACAUAUCGACAUAUGCCGAAACAAUUUGAUAAGUGAUAUCGAGAGAAUUUGUCAAGUGAUGUCAGGGCAACUUGUUGAGACAUGAAUAGCAAACAUUACAUCAAAUAUUUGGUGGGCACAAAAAGACACGUGCCAAAUACGGAGGGUUGUUGGAAGACGUUCGCAUGUAUAUUUCCUAGACUUCAAAUGGUCCUGAGAUCACUUGGUUCUAAUGUGCAUCCGCCUCUGCAUGUGUGUACAAGUUUAGAUUGUUUAAAUACAAUGUGAAAUAUAGAUCACACAAAAUAUCACUUCAUGUAUAAAUAGGAUUUGGAUUCUAUUCGGAUCCAAAUUGUGGAGAUCGAGGGAUCUUCACAUUUUAACCAUUCAUUGUGUAUCGUGAUGUUAUAAAUUAUUUAACCUUUUUUUUAUUUAAAAUUAAACACAAAAAAUACAUGACAAAAACUGACUACACGAUAUACGAUGACCAGCUAGAAUGUAGGGAUCCUUAUGGGUGGUUUGGGAGUGAGGUGCUUAAACAAAAAGCACCCAUGAAAAAAAUCUGUGAGGGUUUUAGGUGUUUGGUAAACUGAAAAAAAAUGGCUUAUUUUGGAAGCUGCUGUGAGAAUAAGCUGAAAUUAAAGGAAAAAGCUAAAGCUGCUAUUUGCAGCUUUGGAAAACUGGCUUUUUUCAAAGCACAUGGAGCUACAGUGCUCUUUUAAUGAAAAGACCCACUAUCAAAUUGCUUUUUUUUUCCAAAAGCACUUUUACAAAAAAAUUUACCAAACACUCUGUUGAUAUUUCACAGCCGCUUAUUCUCACAGCACAACUGCUUAUUCUCAUAUCAACUUUUUUUUAAAGCACAUCAAUACCAAACCAGCCCUUAGAAUCCUCAUAAAGUGAAAGGAUCCUCUUCUUUGUAAUAUACUACAUUAGCUUAAUUAGCUGCAUUAUUAUUUUAAAUAUUUAUGGUUAAUUGCUUGGAAAAUGUAUUAUAAUAUGAAAUAAUGAACAUUCUUCACAUACAUGUAUGUGGAAAAGGUUGUGGUUUGACGAUUGACUGACUAGGCGGAGACCAAUUUCACUUUUUGAUUGCAAUUUACGAUACCGGUCCAAGUUCCAACAACCCACCAACUAGUAAAUUUGUAUCGAAAAUGCUUUAAAAAGAUUCUCUUCUAUAUAUAUACAUAGAGAGAGAGAGAGGAUUACGAUGCAGGAAUGUGCUGGAAAGACUGGAAACAUUGAGGGUAAGUUUUGAAGUUGUUGAUAUUCCAACAAACAUCGGAAUUGAUUAGUAUUUUCCAUGGUGAACGAAAUUGUGACUGCAUUUGCAUGCACGACUCCCAUGCACCUUACACGUGGUGAAGUCAUCAAACGACAACCUCGCGGAAAAUGAACGUUUAUUGUCAAUGAUAUAAAUUUUACGCGUAAGCAUAAAUUUUAUGCGUAAACUUUUUUUUACAUGAGAGUUGUAUCAUUAGUACAAAAUACUACAAUUAAAAUUACUCAGUGUUAUGAAGUUGGUCUCAUGUCUUGUGAGCAUGUUUCCUAUGCCGUCCUUGUUCGUCAUGUUUAUUCACACAGCGAAUUGUAGGAAGGGAAUUGUAGAGUAUUUUCAUCUAUGUUAAAUUGACAUAACUAGGUCUCAAAUCCAACCCAAAACACACAAGUCUACUCGUUUUUGGGUCCAAGGCUCACUAGUCGCUUAUGAGUCUUGAUCUAAAUACAUGGCGUUGACGUCACGCUCACCUAGCUAGGAGAGUGUGGGACCCACCACGAUGGUUACUUACAAUGUACUCAACACGUGGCCAAAUAUAAGAGGUUACUUUCAAAUUUUCAUUCUAAUCCAGCCGUUCAAUAAUUAAUUUCAUCCGUUCAAUAAUUACUAAAUAAUUGAAUUAUACAUAAAAAUUAAAUAAAUCUCUGUAAAUGUAACAACAUUUACCAAAAUCGAGAUCAUUAUUUGUACGUGACUUUUCUUGAGAUAUCAAGUCCACCACUAAAACUUUUGUAUCCAAAAAGCCCACUUCCUCAUAUGAACGCAUUACGCACCCUACAACAAGUAGACACAGCAUUUAUCAAUGAGAAGUGGUUUCCGUAAACUCAUUUUCUCUCUCUGUAAUGGUCUGCAAAAUUGAAAAAAAUGUGCACGGAAAUCAUUCCCCUUUAUCAAACAGAGUGAGCUACAAUUCAUAACCUAAACUUGCCAAGGCAAAAGCUAACGUACUGUUCUGUCAAAAACAAUGCUGUCAACCUUCAGCAGUACCAAUUUUUUUUUUUUGUUGAAAUUUGGUGACACCAAAAUCACUAUUCAUCUUUUUCAUUGGCUUUAUAUGUAGAUGUAGAGUUGAUCGUUUCUUUUUUUCAUGUUGGGAAAAUGCUUUAAUUAUAAGAAAAGGAAGCAACAAAACAUGUGAAGUACCAAGACUGCUCACCUAAGUACUAGGAUUGCUCACCUAAUUGGAGGCCCUGUGAUGACGUCUUUUGUAUGAACCUUCAGAUUUAUCUAAUGGUGAAUAAACUUAUGGGUUUAGAUUAUUCCUUAUAUUUUGGUAAAUAGGAAUAAUCUAAACUCAUAAGUUUAUUCACUAUUAGAUAAAUCUGAAAGUUCAUACGAAAGAAGUUCUCUCAAGUAGGGACGAAUUCACUUUGGGACAAGGUGGGUCACUUGAGCUCCAAAAACUCAGAAAUCCUCCAUGCAAGAGAUGGGUACUGCCUUUGAAAAUAUGAGAUGCUCUUGAAAACUGUCUUCCAACCGCUUUUUGAAUUGCCUUUAUGGUUCCCAUGCAUGAUAGUUGCUAGCUUUAUGCCUUUGUAUGUGUUGCUAUAGGCAUCUGUCGAUAGGCUCACUCGUCAUAUAUUGGCAUAUGUCGGCAAGUUCGCUAAAAAACUAUUGACGUUAGUAGACAUGCUUGUGCGAAAAAUGUUGACAUGUGUGCAAUACGAAUUAACAAAUGACCUAAGGCCUACUAAGACUCGAUAAAAUACUAAUUUGCUUGCCAUUCCGCCUAAAAAAAAAAAUUGCUCGCUAUUCUUAUUGAACCCCUCCCAAUAUAUUUCAUCAAUCUACCAUUGCUCACAAGUCUUGAAAAUGAAGCUUUAGGUGAGCACAGCACAAAGGAUAAUCAAAAGCAGAUGAGCGGUCUAUACCUAACUCCAACUUCAACGACAAUCCUCCACACCAAAAAAAUAAAUAAAUAAGACCACAAUAAUGAAGAAAUAAAAUUAAAAUAAUUUCCUAAAUUUUAAGAAUAUGUUUCAUGAAUUACUAAUUUUCUAAACCAAAUCAAUGAGAAUGAUAUGACGCACAAUCUUUGCUCAAUUUUCACUAAGGACUCAGUUAGAAUUUUUUUUCAGAAGUACUUUUGCGCAAGCAUUAUAUUAAAAUUCAAAAAAAUUUUAGGACUCAUUCGCAACUUACAAACAAAUCACUUGGAAAUAAUUUCUGAAGAAGCAUUUCAUGCACGCUUUUACAAAAAACACUUUUAUAAUACAUGAGUACUUUCAUUUUCUUGUCAACCGUAGUCAUAAGCAUUGUUAGUUGUCAUGAAAACUUUUAAUCAUGCCAAAAAUCAUUGAGGCAAAUGCUUGGACUGCAAGAAAGAUCAAAAUUUAGAGAUUUUAUAGUUUUCUGAUAGAUUCUUGAAUUUCACGUUUAUCAACCAAUGAAAUGCUUUGUAAUAUCAAAUGCAUUGUUGUAGUAUCGAGCAUUCAUAUCCACAUUUCACAUUGCAUUAGCAUGAAUGCUCGAUACUACAUAGUAUUUGUGAUGUCCCUUUACAUGGGUACAAAGAUUUGCCAUCGUUAAUGUGGCCUCUCUCUAUUUUUCCCAAUGGAUUCCAAAACCAUCCUUAACUAACAAAACAUGUUUUGUCCCGGAAGACUUGUCAUAGAAUUUCUAAGGCAGGUGAUGCUUGGGCAGCUGCAUUGAAGGUGAGCGGCUUGAUGUCCAUGGAACGCAUGUAACUCAAAAACUGUCCGGGCAGCUCUUCCAGAAGACCUUGAACAACAGAAAUCUGCCCACCUGCUUACAAGUUACAAACCCCACAGAUUGCCAAAUUAGUACAGGAUGAAAGAAAGUCUGAACUCAGUUCUAGUAACUUCGCAUCACACGAUGUUGACGUGCACCUAAAGGUACAAUGGAUGUUUAGAAGGAGAAAUGGAGGUCAUGGAUACUUACUCUGCACAUCUCUCAUUGGAACGAACUGGACAAUGUCACGCGUAGCUAUGCGACCUGUAGAACUUUCUAAUCGUUGCCCGUUGUCAGCGUCAAGGAUCUGCCAAAUACAAAAGAUUCAGACGAAACUUCAUGAUAUGCAGAAAUCAAAAACCAGUAUAUGAAAAUCCUGAAUAAGCACAAGUAUUACCUCCAUUUGUUUGAAAUCCGCGUUACCAACUCCAACGAUGAGGAUUGAUAGAGGAAGAUUAGAUGCCCUCACCAAAGCAUCUUUUGUUUCUUGAAGGUCAGUGAGGAUUCCAUCCUAGAAAACAAGAUGGCAUUCAUAUUAUCAUUUUUUGUAAAACAAAGAACCCAGGAGUUAAAAAUUCAAUUUGAAUUCAUCGUGCUCUUACUGUUAUAAUGAGCAAGACGUAGUACUUGUUGUUGUUGGACGAGAGGGACCUGGCGGCAAUUUCAGCAGCCCUGUUAACCACUUGGCCAAACAACGUCGGUCCUGACAGAGCAACAUUGCGUAGAGCAUUGGCAUAAGCAGCCAUUAUGCCUUCAACUCCGACAACCUGUUAAAUAAAUGACACGAUUGAAUUUACUGAGAUGGUAAAACAAAAUAUAGUUCAGGUGUAUUGAAUGAGAUUGCAAACAAAGGGUAAAAGAGCAUUGCAAAGGGUUAAACUACUCCUUUACCUCAGAUUCACUUGCAUUUCCAUUCAAGUUGAAGCAGUGUGUGAUACAGUUCCAUUAGCCGUCCUUCCUCCAAAGCCCCAAGCAGGAAAACUCUUAUCAGCAUCAUAGAACUGAAUGACUUGUCCUACUUCUGUUAUAACCUGCAAAGGAAAACAUCUAAUCAAUCAAUAUGCUUUCACUAACUAUCGAACAGAAAAGUACCCAUAACAACUAACCCUCGAGAACAAAUGACCUUAAUUAUGUACGAAUUCAAUACACGUCUGCAAAAAGAAUAUGGUGGAUAAGAUAGAACUAUCCCUAUUGAAGCACAUGCUUACCUGCUGGUAAGAAUUCAGCCGGCCAUAAGGAUCAAUAUAGUGCAAAGACUCGGGCUUUCUAGGAUCUCCAUUUGAACCUGGACAAAAUUUAAUAUUCGAAACAAGAAAGUAUAUCAAACCCAUGAACUUUUGCAGAGUGAAGACUGAAUUAAAUUACUAGACUAUAUCCGACAUUGCUUACCCGUAAAAUCAACUGCAACCAUGAAGUUAAGCUCAAAUCCACUAGAUAUAUAGUCAACAAAGCUGAAUUGUUCUUUCUCACAAAAUUGAUCCACAAAUAGCUGACCCUUCAAAACCUACGUUAGCAUAUAUUACAAAGCAAACGUGAGUAAAUUCAAAUUGACAUGAAAUACUAAGGAAUUGGACUGCAAGAUUGAAUAAAUACCUUUUCAUGACCCGCACGAGAAGAUGGAAUAAAAAAGUUCACCCCACUUUUUUCUUUGAAUAGUUUUUCAAGGUCUGCUACUGAUUUUUGGAGUUUCCUGAGUAAAACGAAUAGAGAGGUUAAUUACAAAACAAUGAUAUCAUGCAAGAAGUAACAAAAUAAAGACUUGGAACCAAUCAAUAAUUACCCAAUAAGAAUGUGGUUGCCAUUGCUGUUGAAAUCAAAACACUCAAAAACCAGUGGGGUGUCCUGAAUCAAAUUGAAGAAAGUUAUAUGAUCUCUCUAUCGUAUUUCUCAAUUACCAAAAUUUAUAUACUCUAAUUUAACAGGUAACCAAGCAAUAAUUCACAAGCUUACCUUGCUUCCGAACUGUUGCAUACUCAGGCAUAAUGGUUUCCAGGUCGGGUUUAAAUUGUUAUCCACCACCUCAGUCUUGCAAAUUGGAAUAGAACCCCCAGUCUCAACAGUUCUUGAUAUUCUUAAGAAAGGAUCCUGAAGUGAAGAAUCGGGAAAGAAACCUAAGAAUCAUACAAUAUAAGAAAUUUGUAUAUACAAGUAAAAAUAUCGCACGAAGCUUCUUUGAAAUGCGUACGCUUUUAGAGAAAAGAGAUCUUUGUUGUCCAAGUGGGCACAGCGGAAUUUAAUCUCUACAGCACUCGUAGAAGCAAUAGUUUCCUCGGCAUGCACGGUGAGUGUUCCAAAGUUUCUCAAACCUCCAAGCCCGUUUUUGCCGUUCAGAGUCAAUGUUAAACUUCGAUUUUGUUUAGUCACAAUCUGCCGUCAGAAAAGAGAGUACACAGCAAAAUAUAAAUUAGGUUUGACUUCAUUUACUAGAAAACUAUGAAAUCUUAGGUACUGAUUUCAAUACAUUUUGGGCAACAGUUUUGCAUUUGAUUAAAUAAAGGAAACCACUACAAGCUAUAUCGAUAUCUUUCCUUAGCUGCAUCAACGGUGAGCAGAAUAGAAACACAUAACUCGAAGUAUUAAUUAAAUGAGUCUAUAUACAUAUCACACCAGCUCAAUGAAAAUAUAUGAGCUGAAUAGAUUUCAAGAGAAUUACCUCUGAAAGAACACAACUGCCUUCUCCAAGAAACUCUUGAUCCCUCAAAUUCAGAGUCUGCAAGGCAACAAAAUAAGAAGGUUAACACAUGAAUUGUAUUAGGUUUUUCGUUCUAAAAGAAACGCUAAAAAUUCAAAGAAGUCUCGUCAUACCUUUACAGGUACAUUGUGGUAUUGUGUAUCAACAUCGUAGACACGGAAUCUUGGAGGAGAACACAAGAAAAGAAAAUAAGCAAACGUCUGGUAAACUACAAAGAUAUCUUCAGAGAGAUAGGUUCUACAGAAAAUAUGAGAAACUUACAUCAAAUUCUGCACCAUCUCGAACUGAUAAGCUACUGAAACUUUCUGUAUCCAUACCGGAUUUAAAUUGUUCAGUAUGACUUCAGUUCUCCCGAGUUCCUCUAGCUUACCAUCAUUCUUCUUGAGGUAUACAACCACCAUAGGAUCACUCUGAAAGAAAACCACAGAAUUUUUUAGCCUCGAUAGUAAACUCGUAGCGGUCAGAUGACACUGUUACAAUAACUUUGUUACUUAGAUAAAACUUAACCAGUAUUUUAACUGCUAUGUUAUCACAAGUAAGGUGACAUGGAUAGCAUACCUUUGAAGUGACAUCAAGAUCAAGCAGCUUGGAUGCUGAAAAGGAUAACUGUAGCAAAAAAUUGAAAAACAUUAACACAAAACAACAAAAACAACAACCAAGCCUAAUUCACUAAAUGGUGUCGGUUGUAUGACUCUCCGUAUGCCACUGCACUUGGUUUUGGAAGACAAAAGAUGAAAGACAAAAUCCAAAGGAAAUAAAGAAUCAAGGCUUUUGGAAUUUGGACCCAGCAAAUUAUCACAUUGUAAAAAUGGUUUUGUCUUAUGGUCCCCAAGUCAACAUUGGCAUAACAAAAUAAAAAUGAGAAUCUUGCUAAUGUCCUGUUUGUGAGACCCUCUCUAGGCCAUCCAUGCUAAUAAACACUUGUGAAACAUGCAACCUCACGUAACACACCAAUCACUUGUGAAACAUCCAUGCAAAUAAACAUGAUACACAUAAAGUUGACAUAGUAUUUUGGUCAAACAUUUGGAACACAUUGUAAACCAAAUAUGACUUGGGUCCUUAAAUUGGGGGAAAUCUUAUUUCAGACUGUCAGAUUUCAUGCCUUGUCCAAUCACUCAAUAAGAUGUUUGCACUAACAAGCGUAUAACUGUUUACUUUCCACUUUAAUAAUUUCACUAACAAACAUAUUCACAUAAUACGUUUGGAUGAUAUGUUGAAAGUCAAUAACGUGUUAUCUGUUCGUUAAUAGACGGACGUGGUUAGAUCGCCUAACACAAGAGUCUCACCAACAUUUGGAUGAGUGGGUAUUGUGACGCUUGGCAUUUUAGUGGGUAUUGUGGAUACAUGGGUAACACGCCACCUUGCAAUGAACUAUGAAUGAAAGGAAAACUAAUGAAAAUAGCUUGAAAACUUUAAGGGUGUGUUUGUUUGGGCUCACAAACUUUCAUUGGACUGGACUGGAUUAAUUAUUAGUCCAGUCCCAUGUUUGUUAGGCAAUGGGAUUAAGUUAAGUGGGAUUCAAUCGGACUCGCUCCGACUAUCUCCUUCGCUAAGAGUUCUUAGCGAGCAUCCUAAAAAAUGACGGGAUUGCUAAGACCGUCUUCGAAAGAGUUCGCUCGUCCUGCUUCUCGUCUUCGUCUUGCUGGUCCCGCUCCCUCAUCCUAGUCUUGCUCUCUCAUCGUCGUCCUGCUCUCUCAUCCUCGUCCUCAUCCUGCUCCUCUCCGAUUUGGUUUUGCAGAUCUGAAAUUAUUAUUGAUUUUUUUUUUAUCGAUUUUGUUGUUUUGGGUUCCAAAUCUCUGAAAUUUUUGAAUUUUUAUCACAAAAAUUGGGUGCGAUUGUGUUCUGUGAUUGGGUGUGUUUUUUAAUUGAUUGCUACCCAUUUAUUUUCAAUUUUUCUUGACAAUUUGAUGAUCCUGAGAGAUGGGAAAUCCGUCCAUCUCUCACUAGAUGAACGAACGGGUUUGUAAUCAUUUCCCUUUUGGGUUUCUAUCUUGAGAAUCAUGUGAAAGGGUUUUGAUUUUUUGGUUUCUGGGUUUUUGAAUUGGCGGCAUAUUAUGGGUCUUUUAAUCUUGAAGUUGUUGUCUUUGUUUGGUUUUUGGUGGCUAUGUAUAUUUGCAGGGUCUGGAUUUGUUUCUCAGGACCUCUAUCAGCAUGGGAUUUUCAGUGCUUCCAUUAAGCUGCCAGCUGAUUACACUUCUGGAGUUGUUGUGUUUUAUGCGAGUUCAUUCUGUUUUUCUAUUUGAUUAAGGUUUUUAAUUUGUUUCCCUCUUUGUUUGUUGUAUGAUUAUAUCUAAGGUUGUAUGAUUUUAUUGUCAACAAAAUAAUAUGACCCAGAUUUUUACUUCUCAAUUUUACAGUUUAGUAAAGAUUCAAUCUUUAUGGUUAUCUGAUUAAUCUGAAAUUUGUUUGUUUUAAACUUGGUGGCGUGGAACCCAGAAAUGUUAUGGAGAUCUAUCAAUAUCCCAAGUAAAAACUUGUUUUUUCAAACUUGGUGGUGUAAACAGUACUAUUUUUAUUAUCCUGCUUCUUAAUCCGGUACUACACCAAACGCUUCAUUAAAUUAGUCCAGCUUAAUCUAGUCUAAGCUAGUCUAGUUUAGUCUUUGAAGCUAGUCCAGUCCGAGAUAGUCCGGUGCAACAAACGCACCCUAAGUUUUAAUGAUAAGGACAAAAUAAAGGAUAAAGUGAAUAGUAUCACGUUUGACUUGUUAGUGUAAAAAUAUGAUUUUUCGUUAAAGUGAACAGUACUGUGAACUUUUCGUUAAAACUCCCUUGAAUGAAACUUCAUCUUCAAGACUUCAACAAUAUAAUAGUAAAAUGAUCUGAACUUUUCAAUUUUCUCUGCAACCUAACAGCAGAAACUCUACAACAACAAAACAAGUUUCCACGACUCGAAUUUGUGAUAUUUCGAUCAUAAAUGAGCAACAUUUUCGUAAUGCUAAAAAACUCAGUAAAUAAAAAACAUUUGCAAUAAAAAGAAAAAAAAACAAAAUUUGAGACAAAUAAUAUUUUCAAAAUACAACUACAAAAUAAUAUUUGCAAAACUCAAAAUAUAUCCACUCAAUGUAUGAAUAAAAUAAAAUAAGAUCUAGUAAGGUUAUAUUUAUAGCCAAAAUAACUAAUAACUAAUAUAUAUGUAUAUUUCGCAAAACUCAAUAUAUAUGUAAAUUAAAUAAGAAAUUCCAAGAAAAGAAUCAAAUAGAAAUUCCAGAAAAACAGAGAAAUUAGAAAAUUCAAAGGUUCGAGGAGUAGGGAUUUGAAGGCAAAUCGAUCACCCUGCAGAAGCAGUGCCGGAGUUGUACCUCGAGUUGCGUAAAAAGCGGGUAAGCACCAUGCGCCCUGUAAAAGAAUUCAAUGGCAUCGUUGUGAGCGCCGUCGUUCUUGGCGUUCGGUUCGGUGGGCCUUGGCAGGGCCCCGCCCACGGCGUCCUUGCCUCCCCUCACGUCCGAAAAGCAUCCUCCCAUCCACUUCAAUCAAAAAUCCCAAACCUUUAUCCGUACUCUCUCCUCUUUCUUCGUCUCUCUGAAAUUCGAGAACCCAGAAGCAAACUGCGACUGUUAAUCGCAAAAUCAGUCUGCCAAUUAGGAGAUUUUGCGUGAUUAAGCUUCGUUAAACCCCAAGGAUUAUGGUAUUUGAUUCUUUGCGAUGCGCAUAUAUGUAUAUAUAGGCAGUGAGAUCGUGUUUCUUGCAUAUAUAUAUAAGAGGAAUGCAAACUGGGUGCUUUGUACGUUAUCCAGCCUUAUCCGGAAAUUUUCUCGAACGCGGAUUUCCCGAAGCUUCACUUUAUGGAAUUUUUUUUUAUUGCGUCAAUAUUUUAUAUUAAGAGAAUGGGAGUUCGAUUAAGCUACCAUUUUAUAUGGAAUUUACUUCAAGUAUUUCCAAAUAAUGAAAGAAAAGUCUUUUUUUUUAAUGGAAAAUCAAUAAAAAUCUUAGACAAACAUAAUAAAAUUAACUUAGCUUCUCAAUGUGAAUAGAAGUUUUGAAUUUCCUACGUGAUCGAUUUACGAGACUUCGUACUUAUAAUCAGAAUUGUUUAUAUUGUAAAUAAUUACAUAAAGAUCAUAUGUGCAAAAAAUUAAUAAAUUAUGAGAUCGUUCAAUUAUUGAAUUAUAUAAAAACUUCUGAAUGAAUUUCAUAAAAGAAUCAUGAACCGUCUAUUUAUUUGCUAAAAUUGAUUGACUAAACGAUUUUUUCAUUAAUUUUUUUUGUAGAAAUAUUUUUACAUAAUGAAUUAUUAUAUGAACUGCUCUAUUAUUCUCUAAAUCGACCACAAAAUAUUUUGAGGAAGAACUCAUUUUAGGAGUCAAACCCAUUUUUAAAAAUACUUUUUUAAGUCAUAAAAUAAUUUUCAUAUUAAGAAUGAAGAAAUUAAUAUUUUUUUAAUUUUUCUUUUAAUAAACAAUAUGAAUUGACUAAGCCUCACAAUGGGCGGUCAUAAUAGUGUGGUUCAAAUACACCUUUGACGAAUCGAAUAUAAGGCAUCUCACUUAUAAGUGAAGAAAAAUACUCUUAUACCAUAGUACUAAGUAGCAAUAUUUUGUGCUUUUAAAAGAAGGUGAAUUAAAUCUUAAUAUUUUUUGUACUUUGCAGCUUAGUCGAGUUGGCAAUAUGGUACUUCCCCUUGUCUAAAGUUCAAAGCCUCAUUUCAUUUCUGUAAUUUAGUUAAUUUAUAUAAAAGAUUUUAUUUUUUGUCAAAACAUAAGUUCUUAUUUUAUUUAUUUAUAAAGAAUAAUACAAAAGUUAAGAAAAGGAAUUUCACUCGCCUACGUUUUGGUAUUUACCAAUGAAGUUCACUUUUUUGGCUUAACUAUUAAUGUAGAGUUGAUCGUUUCAUUUUUUUUUUUUCAUGUUGGGAAAAUACUUUAAUUAUAAGAAAAGGAAGCAACAAAACGUGUGCAGUCCCAAGAUUGCUCACCUAAUUUGAGCCCCCCCUGUGAAGACGUCUUUAUGAACCUUCAUAUUUAUCUAAUGGUGAAUAAACUUAUGAGUUUAGAUUAAAGAAUUAUUAUUGUCACUCCAAAAAUCUUAUCUUGCACUCCAAACUUUCUAUAUUUAGAAAAAAAAUUACACUUGCGAGGAAUGUAGAAUUAGAUUUUUUAAAUGUUAAUAACAAUUCCCUUAGAUUAUUCCUUAUGUUUUGGUAAAUAAGAAUAAUCUAAACCCAUAAGUUUAUUCACUAUUAGAUAAAUCUGAAAGUUCAUACGAAAGAGGUCCUCACAAGUAGGGGUGAAUUCACUUUGGGGCAAGGUGGGUCACUUGAUGACCUCCACAAACUCAGAAAUCCUCCAUGCAAAAGUUGGAUAUUGCCUUUGAAAAUUUGAGACGCUUGUGAAAGCUAUCCUCCAACUGCUUUUUGAAUUGCCUUUAUGGUUCCUAGGCAUGAUAGUUGCUAGCCUUAUGCAUUUGUAUGUGUUGCUAUAGCCAUCUGUCGAUGGGCUUACUCGGCAUAUAUUGGCAUGUAUCGACAAACUCGCUCAAAAACUACUGACAUCAGUAGACAUGCUUGCGCGAAAGAUGUUGACAUGUGUGCAAUAUGAAUUGACAAAUGACCUCAAACCUAUCAAAGCUCGAUAAAAUGCUAAUUUGCUUGCCAUUCCGCCUAAAAGAAAUUUUGCUCGCUAUUCUUAUUGAACUCCUCCCAAUAUAUUUCAUCGAUCUACCAUUGCUCACAAGUCUUGAAAAUGAAGCUUUAGGUGAGAAAGCACGAGGGAUAAUCAAGCAGAUGAACGGUCUAUACCUAACUCCAACUUCAACAACAAUCCUCCACACCCAAAAAAAUAAAUAAGACCACAAUAAUGAAGAAAUACAAUUAAAAUAAGGGAACUUUAACGAAAAGCACCCGGUACUGUUCACUUUAACGAAAAACCACAUUUUUACCCUAAAAAGUCAAUCUUGGUACUAUUCACUUUACCAUUUAUUUUGUCCUUUGAUAGGAGCAUAUUUAUACGACUUAGUUAGCUUGUUUUCUUGCUUUUAAUUAGCUAAACUAUGAUAAUUAUAGUGUUUAAAGUUAUUUUCGUGCAAUUUCAGGUUUUAGUGUCAAAGUAUGCAAAAAGAAGCAAUUUGGAACAUUCUAGAGCAUUUUUGGGCCAAGAUUGGAUUGUGCAAGCAUGGAGGCAUGAGGAUGGACGAAUUUGAAGACAAAAGAGGCUAUGAACAUGCUAAAAAUCUGGUGAAACAAAUACAAGUUGCAAGAAGGGAUAAAUUUCUAGAAGGAUUGACCAAAACUUCACUCAAAACCAAGAAAUUCUUCAAUGCCGUGGGCAUUGAUUCACUUUCACCAUAAAUUUGAGUGAUGAUGCAAUGCUUAAAUCACCAUGACAUGUGAGUGGAUGAUGCAAUGCUUAAAUCACCAUGACAUGUGAGUGGAUGAUGCAAUGCUUAACUCACCAUGACAUGUGAAUGGAUGACUCAAUACCUAACCCACCAACAAUUCCCACUCUUUGCCUUGCUCACCUACUCAAUUCCACCAAAAUUUUGUGUUAAACAAGUCCAUCCUUUUCCUAUAAAUACCAUGGCAGCAACCUCAUUCAAAACAGACAGAAAUUCAUACACAUUUACAUUAGUUCCAAGGCUUGCAAAGAAGGAGGAGUGCUUGGAGUUUUGCUAGCCAUUCCAUUGGAGUUGUUGGAGCAUUCUAGGUGUAUUCUACUUUGUUUUUCUAUGUUUAAUAUCAAUUGUUUUUGUUUAAUUGCAAGUAUGAGGAACUAAUCCCCUACUUAGCUAGAGGGAAGUUCAAAGCCAUGAAUAUAUUUGUAAUAUGAAUUGAUUACCUUCAGUUGUGAUUUCUGAGUUGUGAUUUAAUUUGCUUAACUGCUUGAUUGAUAACUUAUUUUUGUAUGUCGAUUAAGGAUGCAUACUUAAUUUACAUGCAUGAAUUUGAUGCUAGAAUAUAAGGGAGUUUCACCUAAUCGUUAUGAACUUAUAUUCACAAGUAGUGAAGGUUGCUAUUCACAAUCACGUUAAGUAAAUUCUUGGCAUAAGUUUCAUGCAAAUCAUAGUAACGAGUGCCUCGUCAAUGCUUAUGUUUUUCAUAGAACUUAAUGAUUCUUGCUUGUAUCUCUAUUAUGCAAUUCAUGUAGGGAACUUGUAGGGAAUGUUUUGGGUUGUCGUAUGCAAUCAUCCAACCCAAUAACUUGUGGAAAAAUUAAGGGUUAAUUAGUGCAAUUCACGGUUAAUUUGGGGCGUUGAGAUUUACAAUUUAUUGAAAGAACAACUGAAAAAUCAAUUUAGGUUGCAUAUGUGUCAUGUGUGGAGAAGAACCCUCUAGCCAGUCCGUCACCUAUCCUUUCACCUUAAUUCAUGCUUUUGUCAAUUCUGUAAUUUAUUUAAGUUUAAUUUACUUCUCGUCAAAACCAAACCCCCCCCCCAUUAUUAAAUUAUAUUAUUUAGUUAGUUUUCAUUGUUGUUAGUCUUUUAAUUCAAUUUCCGUCCAUUUCAGUUCCUAGUGUCUAAAUUGAUUGUUUUCAUUAUGUUGAGUCAUUCUAAGUGUGUUUCGAGUUAUUAGAGUUUUUAGCCUAGUUUUGUGUCCUUGAGUCUUGUUUAAUAUUUUUAAAUUAAUUUAGAAUAGAUUAGCAAUCCCUCCUAAUCCCCGGCCUAGAACGAUACCCUACUUAUAUCUAUACUACAAUUGUCAAAAAGAGGGUUUAAUUUGUGUGUCAAGUAAUUCUCGCAUCAUCCUUAUCAUUAAAACUCAAAGUUUUCAAGCCCUUUUCAUUAGUUUUCCUUUAAAAUAAUUUCCCAAAAUUUUAAGAAAAUGUUUCAUGAAUUACUAAUUUUCUAAACCAAAUUAGUGAGAAUGAUAUGAAGCACAAUAUUUUCUCAAUUUGUUUAUGAAGAGAAAUAACAAAAUAAAAACAUCCAUCAAAUAGAUUGGUUUACUAGUUUGAGGAUUGAAUGGAAUCGAACCAAAUCAAAUUGAAUUGUUGAAAUUGCUUACAAGGGUUGGUCCAUUUGGUAAGGGCGUGCAUGUGAUUAACCCUAAUCCAAGUUCGAUUCUCUCAUCCAAUAGUUCUCAUUGGUGCAAGAUCUGUAAGUUCAUACGUAAAUCUAUAUAUGUAGCAGCUGAUAGUUAGAUGUUAUGCGUAAAUCUUUUCGACUUAAAAUUGUAGAUAUUCUCUAACGCUGGUAGUAAGAGUAGCUAAUCUCUCUCUUUCUUCUUCAAAGUUGACUUGGAAAAUUUCUACCUUCCCUUGCAAUACUCCUGUCGGGGUAAGAGUAGCCAAUCUCUUCCCUUUUUUCUUCAAAGAGGUCGAGGAGUUCCUGUCCCAUUCAUACUACUGUGGCUUAUGGAGUGUGCCAAUAAUGCAAUAUAAAAUAUUGGGAAACAAAUACUUGUGGAUAAACCUAAUGACUCGACUCCAAUAUGUCCUUCUUUUUUCUUUUUCAUAGAAGUUGACUUCAAUAUGUUUAUGGAUAAAGCUUAGUCCAUAGCAAAUUAUUUAGAUAAGACUUCUUACAACGGUUUAGUUGGCGUCACCAGAAUGACGUCAAUAUUAUCACGAAAGCAUGCAUGAAAUCAAAUGGUAUAUCACGAUCAGGUAUCAACUUUAGAUAAAUUUAUCAACAAUUUAUUGGGUAAAUAUGCUUGCUGCUGACCAUCUCAUUGCAACAGUUUUAAAAUCUCAAUCACACGUACAUACGUGCAGUGACAGAUUCAAGAUUUAGACUUUAGGAAAUUUCAAUGUUAAACGUUCAAGUUUUUAGACAAAAACAAAGUGAGAAACAUGCAAAAAAAAAAUAGUUUAUUUACUGAGGUACUUCAUGGAAUACUAAUGGGUUUGUUGUCGUCAGCUAACUAUGUUGCGUAGAUGUCAACACAUAUCGACAUAUGCCGAAACAAUUUGAUAAGUGAUAUCGAGAGAAUUUGUCAAGUGAUGUCAGGGCAACUUGUUGAGACAUGUAUAGCAGACAUUACAUCAAAUAUUUGGUGGGCACAAAAAGACACGUGCCAAAUACGGAGGGUUGUUGGAAGACGUUCGCAUGUAUAUUUCCUAGACUUCGAAUGGUCCUGAGAUCACUUGGUUCUAAUGUGCAUCCGCCUCUGCAUGUGUGUACAAGUUUAGAUUGUUUACAUACAAUGUGAAAUAUAGAUCACACAAAAUAUCACUUCAUGUAUAAAUAGGAUUUGGAUCCCAUUCGGAUCCAAAUUGUGGGGAUUGAGGGAUCUUCACAUUUUAACAAUUCAUCGUGUAUCGUGAUGUUAUAAAUUAUUUAACCUUUUUUUAUUUAAAAUUAAACACAAAAAAUACAUGACAAAAACUGACUAUAUGAUAUACGAUGACCAGAUAGAAUGUAGGGAUCCUUAGGGGUGGUUUGGGAGUGAGGUGCUUAAACAAAAAGCAUCCAUGAAAAAAAGCUGUGAGGGUUUUAGGUGUUUAGUAAACUGAAAAAAAAGGCUUAUUUUGGAAGCUGCUGUGAGAAUAAGCUGAAAUCAAAGGAAAAAACUGAAGCUGCUAUUUGCAGCUUUAGAAAACUGUCUUUUUUUCAAAGCACAUGGAGCUACAGUGCUCUUUUAAUGAAAAGAUCCACUAUCAAACUGUUUUUUUUUUCCAAAAGCACUUUUACAAAAAAAUUUACCAAACACUCUGCUGAUUUAUUUCACAGCUAUUUAUUCUCACAGCACAACCGCUUAUUCUCACAACAGCUUUUUUUUAAAGUACAGCAAUACCAAACCAACUCUUAGAAUCCUCAUAAAGUGAAAGGAUCCUCUUCUUUGUAAUAUACUACAUUAGCUUAAUUAGCUGCAUUAUUAUUUUAAAUAUUUAUGGCUAAUUGCUUGGAAAAUGUAUUAUAAUAUGAAAUAAUGAACAUUCUUCACAUACAUGUAUGUGGAAAAGGUUGUGGUUUGACGAUUGACUGACUAGGCGGAGACCAAUUCACUUUUUGAUUGCAAUUUACGAUACCUGUCCAAGUUCCAACAACCCACCAACUAGUAAAUUUGUAUCGAAAAUGCUUUAAAAAGAUUCUCUUCUAUAUAUAUACAUAGAGAGAGAGAGAGAGAGGAUUAUGAUGCAGGAAUGUGCUGGAAAGACUGGAAACAUUUUUGAAGUUGUUGAUAUUCCAACAAACAUCGGAAUUGAUUAGUAUUUUCCACGGUGAACGAAAUUGUGACUGCAUUUGCAUGCACGACUCCCAUGCACCUUACACGUGGUGAAGUCAUCAAACGACAACCUCGUGGAAAAUGAACGUUUAUUGUCAAUGAUAUAAAUUUUACGCGUAAGCAUAAAUUUUACGCGUAAACUUUUUUUUACAUGAGAGUUGUAUCAUUAGUACAAAAUACUACAAUUAAAAUUACUCAGUGUUAUGAAGUUGGUCUCAUGUCUUGUGAGCAUGUUUCCUAUGCCGUCCUUGUUCGUCAUGUUUAUUCACACAACGAAUUGUAGGAAGGGAAUUGUAGAGUAUUUUCAUCUAUGUUAAAUUGACAUAACUAGGUCUCAAAUCCAACCCAAAACACACACAUCUACUCGUUUUUGGGUCCAAGGCUCACCAGUCGCUUAUGAGUCUUGAUCUAAAUACAUGGCGUUGGCGUCACGCUCACCUAGCUAGGAGAGUGUGGGACCCACCACGAUGGUUACUUUCAAUGUACUCGACACGUGGCCAAAUAUAAGAGGUUACUUUCAAAUUUUCAUUCUAAUCCAGCCGUUCAAUAAUUAAUUUCAUCCGUUCAAUAAUUACUAAAUAAUUGAAUUAUACAUUAAAAAUAAAUAAAUCUCUGUAAAUGUAACAACAUUUACCAAAAUCGAGAUCAUUAUUUGUACGUGACUUUUCUUGAGAUAUCAAGUCCACCACUAAAACUUUUGCAUCCAGAAAGCCCACUUCCUCAUUUGAACGCAUUACGCACCCUACAACAAGUAGACACAGCAUUUAAGUGGUUUCGUAAACUCAUUUUCUCUCUCUGUAAUGGUCUGCAAAAUUGAAAAAAAAGUGCACGGAAAUCAUUCCCCUUUAUCAAACAGAGUGAGCUACAGUUCAUAACCUAAACUUGCCAAGGCAAAAGCUAACAUACUGUUCUGUCAACGACAAUGCUGUCAACCUUCGGCAGUACCAACUUUUUUUUGUUGAAAUUUGAUGACAUCAAAAUCACUAUUCAUCGUUUUCAUUGGCUUUAUAUAUAGAUGUAGAGUUGAUCGUUUCUUUUUUUCAUGUUGGGAAAAUGCUUUAAUUAUAAGAAAAGGAAGCAGACAAAACAUGUGAAGUACCAAGACUGCUCACCUAAGUACUAUGAUUGCUCACCUAAUUGGAGGCCCUGUGAAGACGUCUUUCGUAUGAACCUUCAGAUUUAUCUAAUGGUGAAUAAACUUAUGGGUUUAAAUUAUUCCUUAUAUUUUGGUAAAUAGGAAUAAUCUCAACUCAUAAGUUUAUUCACUAUUAGAUAAAUUUGAAGGUUCAUACGAAAGAGGUUCUCACAAGUAGGGACAAAUUCACUUUGGGACAAGGUGGGUCCCUUGAGCUCCACAAACUCAGAAAUCCUCCAUGCAAGAGAUGGGUACUGCUUUUGAAAAUAUGAGAUGCUCUUGAAAGCUGUCUUCCAACUGCUUUUUGAAUUGCCUUUAUGGUUCUCAGGCAUGAUAGUUGCUAGCCUUAUGCCUUUGUAUGUGUUGCUAUAAGCAUCUGUCGAUAGGAUCACUCGGCAUAUAUUGGCAUCUGUCGGCAAGUUCGCUAAAAACUACUGACGUUAGUAGACAUGCUUGUGCGAAAAAUGUUGACAUGUGUGCAAUACGAAUUGACAAAUGACCUAAGGCCUACUAAGGAUUGAUAAAAUACUAAUUUGCUUGCCAUUCCGUCCAAAAAAAAUUGCUCGCUAUUCUUAUUGAACCCCUCCCAAUAUAUUUCAUCAAUCUACCAUUGCUCACAAGUCUUGAAAAUGAAGCUUUAGGUGAGCACAGCACAAAGGAUAAUCAAAAGCAGAUGAGCGGUCUAUACCUAACUCCAACUUCAACGACAAUCCUCCACACCAAAAAAAUAAAUAAAUAAGUCCACAAUAAUGAAGAAAUAAAAUUAAAAUAAUUUCCUAAAUUUUAAGAAUAUGUUUCAUGAAUUACUAAUUUUCUAAACCAAAUUAGUGAGAAUGAUAUGACGCACAAUAUUUGCUCAAUUUUUACUAAGGACUAAGUUAGAAAUUUUUUUUAAGAAGUACUUUUGCGCAAGCAUUAUAUUAAAAUUCAAAAAAAAAUUUAGGACUCAUUCGCAACUUACAAACACAUCACUUGGAAAUAAUUUCUGAAGAAGCAUCUCAUGCGCGCUUUUUCAAAAAACACUUCUAUAAUACAUGAGUGCUUUCAUUUUCUUGUCAACCGUAGUCAUAAGCAUUGUUAGUUGUCAUGAAAACUUUUAAUCAUGCCAAAAAUCAUUGAGGCAGAUGCUUGGACUGCAAGAAAGAUCGAAAUUUAGAGAUUUUAUAGUUUUCUGAUAGAUUCUUGAAUUUCACGUUUAUCAACCAAUGAAAUGCUUUGUAAUAUCCAAUGCGUUGUUGUAGUAUCGAGCAUUCAUAUUUACAUUUCACACUGCAUUAGCAUGAAUGCUCGAUACUACAAAGUAUUCGUGAUGUCCCCUUACAAGGGUACAAAGAUUUGCCAUAGUUAAUGUGGCCUCUCUCAUUUUUCGGCUUGAACUUUAACUGCUUCAUGUUCCAAAACCAU